UAUUUUUUGGAUUUUAGGGUUGUUUCUUUCUGGCUGGUGGAAACUUGGAUUUCAGUACGGGAUCAUGGCUAUUGGGUUUUAUGGGUGUUUUAGGGUCUUUCAUGUUCAUUUGGGUGAAUCUAAAAAUGUUCUCUUGAUAAAAAAUAAAAUCCCAGAAAUAAUAAUUUUCAUGUAGAACAAGGUGCAAUUAAGUUUUUUUUUUUCCUUGCUAGAAGCAUGUGCUUUGAAUCCAACACUUACUUUAGUCUCUGUUUUGCUGCAGUAGGAUUUCAGAAUUAAUAAUGGGCUAUAGACUUAUAUGUAUUGGAAUAUGGAUGAGCAUAAUUGUAGAAUCUUAUUUUAGUUGACCUAUGCAAAGCCUUGUUCUAAGCCAAUUUAAUUUAUAAUAAAAUUACAAUGAAUUCAGAUUUGAUGUUUCUCAUGGUAAAGUUUUUGAAUUUAAUAGCUUAGUGUUUAGUUGUUGAGCUAUUUCAAAUGCUAGUCGAACUUGAGCUAUUUCAAAUGCUCAAGUGUUCAGUCAUUGUUGAGAAGGUGGAGUCUAGGUCAUGCUCCCAGUGGAGGGUUCCCCCUGUUCCCAAUGAGUUUGAUUAAUUGGCUCAUAACAAGGUGUAUGGUGAUUUAGGAAGAUUGUGGUGAUGCAGCUGUGGAGACUUUGAAUCAGUUCCUUGGUUGGUGCAAGCUCUCAUUAUUUUUCGUAAGCUGCAUUUAAAACUUAUCUGAGAAGUUGAAAAAACACAGAAUCAAGCAAGAGGUCUUGUGCGAUAAAAAGAGCGUUUGGCUGUUAUGAAGACAAGUUCAUUCCAAUUCCUAUUCCUCUCAUUGAUCUCCAUCAUCAGGCAUUCCUACAAGUAAAUCUGGGUUAUCAUCAUCAAUUGUAUCCUAAUUUCUUUUGCUUCUGUUUUUCUCAGAUGCAGCAAGAGUAGGAGGCUUAGAUGGAGUAUUGAUACCUUCGGCCUGGGAUCAAAAAUGGUACUGGAAAUCAUAACGGCAAACACUGAUACUGAUCAAACCUUGGUGGGAGGGGCCGUAAAUUAUGUAUAGACAUGAUGUUCUAUUUUUUUAAGUUUGUAAAUAUGAUAAAGCGGGCUAUGUAAUUCAGUGAUGCAAUAGAAAUAUUUACUAUCAAUUUUUAUGAGGUUAAAUAAUUUAUUUAUUGGUGUAAUACUGGCAGUGGAAUGAUAAAAGAGGAUAAAAUUUUGGGGUGAAAUAA